rnacentral:rRNA from 1 species
AUUCCAGCUCCAAUAGCGUAUAUUAAAGUUGUUGCGGUUAAAAAGCUCGUAGUUGGAUUUCUGUUGAGGACGGCCGGUCCGCACUAUGUGCGUGUAUCUGGUUCGGCCUUGGCAUCCUCUUGAGGAACGUAUCUGCGCUUGAUUGCGUGGAGCGGUAUUCAAGACUUUUACUUUGAGGAAAUUAGAGUGUUCACGGCAGGCAAGCGCCUUGAAUACGUUAGCAUGGAAUGAUAAUAUAGGAUCUUGGUUCUAUUUUGUUGGUUUCUAGAGCUAAGGUAAUGAUUAAUAGGGAUAAUUGGGGGCAUUUGUAUUAACGCCUCAGAGGUGGAAUUCUUGGAUUGCGUUACGACAAACUACUGCGAAAGCAUUUGCCAAGGAUGUUUUCAUCG